rnacentral:lncRNA from 1 species
AACUGAGAUCUAUAAUUCUUCAGGUUCAAGAAAUACUUGGUUUAGUUUUUAAAUUGCCUCAGGUAUAGGAAUCAGCACAAGAAAAAAAGAAUGGUUAGUUUUGUACCUGAUAUAUGGUAUGUUGUUUGGUUUUUUUUUUUUUUUUUUUUUUUUGUUUUUUUUCCUAGUAUUGUUGUAUCUGUUACAUUAUCAAUUUUACAUUAAAGAAGUGGACAGUCAGCUUGGCUGAGAUCACUUUUACUGCUCUGAAGUUUGCACGUUAAAAGACCCUGGUUGAAAUAUGUAACUCACAGUUUGUAUAAAUCACUUUAUAAUUUAACAGUACAACCUAACUGAAGACGGUAAAAUAAACAGAAGUCUGACUUAAGUAUGAAUGAACUCACUGCUAGGGUGGAAGAGUGUGUGUUUUUGAGAAUGGAUGUGACUGCUGAAGAGACAUAUUACUGAAAAAAAAAAAAAAAAAAAAAAAAAAGACCAAUUGAACAAGCUGCUAGGAAUUACUGUGCUAGAAAAAAUAGAUUAAUAUAAGUAGACUGGAUAGACUGGAUAGAGAAACUUUACAGUUUCCAGUGAGAUUUCUUAAUUGUAGCACUGAGAUUUUUUUCUCAGUAGCAAAUCCAAACCUGGCCUGCUGGUUUGUCCUCUGCCAUUGAUCUUUGAAGUCUAACCAAGAAUGUGCAAUGAAAAUGUUGAUAUACUGAUAAGCUGAUGUAAAUUAUAUCCCCAGAUAUGAAACAUAUUGUGCCGUUUACCACAGUCCUGAUGUUUCUGUUGUUUUGAAGUUGUGAUCCUUGUAGUUGACAUACCGCAGGAAAGUGCUGGAUAAUCUGUUUGAAGAGAGAACAGAGUAAGUUUUGUCGAAGUUGGGGAUGUUGAAGCCCUCUGGACUACUCCAAAGACUUCAAACUGAAGACUAGCCGUGACAGUCAAUACUUUCCAAGCUGGGAUAUUCCCAGGAGGAGGUAGCACAGUUACGUUUGGCAAAAGUGACAGUCAUAUAUCAACUUCAGAGGCUUUGCUCUUACUCUGUGCAACUACUUAUUCAAGGAAAGUGAAAGUGAUUAAAAGAGCCUACCAGAGACUGAAGAAAGGUGAUGAGCAUUUGUGGAGAGUUAAGAAGGUGGAGGGGAAGUUCAGUAUAUGCAGUCAUUUAAGGAAGAGAGUCUUGCAUAGAAAAGUAAGUGUUCUGGCUGUUCACUCACAGAAAGAACAGAAGGUAAGAAUGACCAACAAGAAGCAGUUUGGGGCGCUGGGGCUGGGGUAUGGGAAGGUUGGUAGAGAGUUAACGGUGCAGGAACCAUUGUGAGAUAUACAUUUAUCCUGACAAUAUGUUCUUACCUCCUCCUUCCAUAUUUUGUUACUGAGAUACUCACAUGGUGUCAGCAAUCAGUGGAAUAUUUGAUACCUUUUAUCUAGCAUGUUUU